rnacentral:sRNA from 1 species
GCCAGGGGAGGUGGCACACACCUGUAAUCCCAGCAUCUCAGGAGGCUGAGACAGGAGGAUCGUGAGUUCAAAGCCAGCCUCAGCAACAGCGAAGUGUGAAGCAACUCAGUGAGACCCUGUCUCUG